rnacentral:rRNA from 1 species
UGGCGGACGGGUGAGUAAUGUCUGGGAAACUGCCUGAUGGAGGGGGAUAACUACUGGAAACGGUAGCUAAUACCGCAUAACGUCGCAAGACCAAAGAGGGGGACCCUCGGGCCUCUUGCCAUCAGAUGUGCCCAGACGGGAUUAGCUUGUUGGUGGGGUAACGGCUCACCAAGGCGACGAUCCCUAGCUGGUCUGAGAGGAUGACCAGCCACACUGGAACUGAGACACGGUCCAG